UUGCCUACGGGAGGCAGCAGUGAGGAAUAUUGGUCAAUGGGCGGGAGCCUGAACCAGCCAAGUCGCGUGAAGGAAGAAGGUACUUAGUAUUGUAAACUUCUUUUGUCGGGGAACAAAGGCGGAGACGCGUCUCCGGAUGAGUGUACCCGAAGAAAAAGCAUCGGCUAACUACGUGCCAGCAGCCGCGGUAAUACGUAGGGGGCGAGCGUUAUCCGGAUUCACUGGGUGUAAGGGGAGCGUAGACGGCCAUGCAAGCCAGGGGUGAAAGCCCGGGGUCCAACCCCGGGACUGCCCUUGGAACUGCA
rnacentral:rRNA from 1 species